GUUUGUAGGUUUGAUAGCGAAUGUGAGAGAGUUUGAUAGUUCGUGUAAGAGGGUUUGUAGGUUUUGGCCUAUGGGGCCUCUCAUAAUUUUGGGUCUUUGAAGGCAUGUUCUACCUCUAGGUUCAGGCUGGGGGGGCCUGCUGCAACCCCUACCCUAUCUAUUUAUCCUUCCCUGAUAUGUCACAAACAUGUUACAAUUGUGGGAAGAAUUGUCUAAUGUUGAUUUCUAAAUCAGCACCAUACUGAGUUUAUUUAGAAAUCAACACUGGACUAGAUUGCUUUUUGUAUAACACACUCAUGUUGUUGAAUUAACACUGUAUUUUUAACAUACAACACUUGCACUGGAAAUCUGACACUUCCGAAUUUGCUGUGUACUUUUCUUUUUCAGCCUUUGCCCAAGGAGCCAUCGUAGGACAAAGGGGAAAACAGCAAGGUCACAAACAUGUUUUUUUCCAAAACAAAGCAGUGGCCAGUCACUAUGUCUGUAUCUAUUCACCAAUGGGCCUCACAAAAUCUCCACAAGGACUGACCUCCCAGGACAAAAAAGCUUCUCCAGUCACUCCAGUAACUCUUGGGAGAAUUCUGAGAAGCCUCAGCUGAGCUGCUCAAUACACCAACAGCAUCAAACUUUCACCACAGACUGAUUUACCAAGUCAUCACUGAGAGAGAAAGAAAGUCCCUAUGAGAAACAGUUUUCAGUGGAGCAUUGACGUACUUGGACUUUUCAUGCUGUUGUGUCCUCCACCACCUGAUUUCUAAGGGAAGGAUCCUUGAAGAUCUUUUUAUUCGUACCUUUUGUGACUGGAUUCAAACUUAUGAAGAGCUUCUUUUAAGAGUCAGCAGUUUUAGAGUCCUUACAAUCCCCUCCAGGAAGCAGUAAUAACCCAGCCACAUUUCAUUAACAACACUUUGCUGCUAAAGUGUCAUGAUUUUACUGAGGCUGAGCCAAACACUGUAGUCUGCCAGAUUAGAGCCUUUAACACCUUUCUCUUGUUUGACUCGGUGGAACUUUACAAGGCUGAGGAGAACGCCGCAGGACCAUCGCUGGGCAGCAGUGUUGUCACAAAGACAACAAGAAGACGUCAUUGUCUAUGGUUUCUUGCUGAAAGUCGGUACUAUGUGGACGUUUUGGAUGACUUAGUUUGCGUCUUUUUUUUUUAUGUGGCGCAAACAUAGCCUGGCGGAGCAGUUUUUGUCAAUGAACCUGAGCCAUAUUGCCCACACCACUGGGAGUAUUUAGCAUAUGUGGACCCCUGGCUCAUUUUAUGUGUUUUGGGAGACAAUGCAUGUCUGCAUCUGUCCAUGUGUGUGAUUCUCUGCGUGCGUGAAUGCGUAUUUGUGGGCAUGUGUGUGUGUGUGCGCGCGCGCGUGUGUGUGCGUGUGCAUGUGUGUGCGUACAACAGGAAACACACUGUGAAAUAAGUUCUAUCUAAUGCAUUAUUCAUACUCUUGUAUAUUUUUGGGACAUGCCCAGACUAGAGCUCAUCAUCUGGCAAAGAGAAUUUCACAAAAGAUCCAGUUCAUAUCCACGGUUUCACCUUUUGCUUAUUUUUUUCUCGGUUUCUCUCUUUCUUUAGUAUUUACAGAUAUUUUUACUGGAGUAACAAAUGGUUAAAGCUGGAUGAAGCUCACAACGGAUCAAAUCAGUUAAAUCCUCUAAUCAGUCUCUUGUUUAUGUGAUUAAUAUUAUUUCUUAAUCCUAUUGAAAUUGAUUAUAUUUUGAUAUACAUGUCCAGCUCUUUGCAGGACAUGGUAUUUGCAGAUUUAGAUGAUAGUGUGACUUAUUUUAAAAAUGUAUGUAGAUCAAUAUAUAUCAGACAAAUAUAUUUUAUGUUCUCAUUAAAGGGCAGCAGAGCUGUUUGAUUUGGGUGGACACAAAAACAUAAGCACUUCUAACAAUACUCAGCCUGAACAUUCUCCUACAUUGUGAAGAUUAUUUUAUUUUCUGUUUUCAUUUCUGGCAAGAAGAUAGGAGCAGUCUGCUUUAUGAUGCUGAAGUGUUUUUGUUCAUGUGUCCACGCCAUUUGUUUAAUUCCUUCUACUGAAAAACAAAAAAACCCCUCCUUUACGUCUCCAUUAACUGUAUGCAUUCAAGGAUAUAAAUAGUGUCUGUUUCUUAAGGUGUUUAGGAUGAACUUGGUGUAUUUGUGAGAAUCGAUUUACACCACUCGGAGCCUGUGGGUUGCGACAGUUGUGUAGACUGUUCAAACAUCUGUUUAGGCUUUAUAGCUCAGUUGUGCAUUAUGUGUACAAAGGCUUGUAAGAAAUACAAAACAGCAAGUGUGUUUAUGAGAGAUUGGCUUCGUGUGUGUUUGUUUUUUCCAGGUCAACUAUGGUCUGUAUUGUGAGAAAAUAUCCAUUUCCACGUUAUCCAAUGGUUUUGAUUUCAUGCAGCCUUUUUAAUCACUCCUUUGGUUUUGCACUCUGUGUAAAUAAAUUGUCGCUUUGAUUUGA